rnacentral:rRNA from 1 species
UAGCUUAGUGGCGAACGGGUGAGUAACACGUAGGCAACCUGCCCAAAAGAGGGGGAUAACACUUGGAAACAGGUGCUAAUACCGCAUAACCAUGAACACCGCAUGAUGUUCAUGUAAAAGAUGGCUUUUGCUGUCACUUUUGGAUGGGCCUGCGGCGUAUUAACUUGUUGGUGGGGUAACGGCCUACCAAGGUGAUGAUACGUAGCCGAACUGAGAGGUUGAUCGGCCACAUUGGGACUGAGACACGGCCCAAACUCCUACGGGAGGCAGCAGUAGGGAAUCUUCCACAAUGGACGAAAGUCUGAUGGAGCAACGCCGCGUGAAUGAAGAAGGCCUUCGGGUCAUAAAAUUCUGUUGUCAGAGAAGAACGUGCGUGAGAGUAACUGUUCACGUAUUGACGGUAUCUGACCAAAAAGCCACGGCUAACUACGUGCCAGCAGCCGCGGUAAUACGUAGGUGGCGAGCGUUGUCCGGAUUUAUUGGGCGUAAAGGGAACGCAGGCGGUCUUUUAAGUCUGAUGUGAAAGCCUUCGGCUUAACCGAAGUAGUGCAUUGGAAACUGGAAGACUUGAGUGCAGAAGAGGAGAGUGGAACUCCAUGUGUAGCGGUGAAAUGCGUAGAUAUAUGGAAGAACACCAGUGGCGAAAGCGGCUCUCUGGUCUGUAACUGACGCUGAGGUUCGAAAGCGUGGGUAGCAACAGGAUUAGAUACCCUGGUAGUCCACGCCGUAAACGAUGAGUGCUAAGUGUUGGAGGGUUUCCGCCCUUCAGUGCUGCAGCUAACGCAUUAAGCACUCCGCCUGGGGAGUACGGUCGCAAGACUGAAACUCAAAGGAAUUGACGGGGGCCCGCACAAGCGGUGGAGCAUGUGGUUUAAUUCGAAGCAACGCGAAGAACCUUACCAGGUCUUGACAUCUUCUGACAAUUCCAGAGAUGGAACGUUCCCUUCGGGGACAGAAUGACAGGUGGUGCAUGGUUGUCGUCAGCUCGUGUCGUGAGAUGUUGGGUUAAGUCCCGCAACGAGCGCAACCCUUAUUGUCAGUUGCCAUCAUUAAGUUGGGCACUCUGGCGAGACUGCCGGUGACAAACCGGAGGAAGGUGGGGAUGACGUCAAAUCAUCAUGCCCCUUAUGACCUGGGCUACACACGUGCUACAAUGGACGGUACAACGAGUCGCUAACUCGCGAGGGCAAGCUAAUCUCUUAAAGCCGUUCUCAGUUCGGAUUGCAGGCUGCAACUCGCCUGCAUGAAGUCGGAAUCGCUAGUAAUCGCGAAUCAGCAUGUCGCGGUGAAUACGUUCCCGGGCCUUGUACACACCGCCCGUCACACCAUGAGAGUUUGUAACACCCAAAGUCGGUGGGGUAACCUUUUGGAGCCAGCCGCCUAAGGUGGGACAGAUGAUUGGGGUGAAGUCGGAACAAGGUA